rnacentral:rRNA from 1 species
AUUGAACGCUGGCGGCAGGCCUAACACAUGCAAGUCGAGCGGAUGAAGGGAGCUUGCUCCUGGAUUCAGCGGCGGACGGGUGAGUAAUGCCUAGGAAUCUGCCUGGUAGUGGGGGAUAACGUCCGGAAACGGGCGCUAAUACCGCAUAUGUCCUGAGGGAGAAAGUGGGGGAUCUUCGGACCUCACGCUAUCAGAUGAGCCUAGGUCGGAUUAGCUAGUUGGUGGGGUAAAGGCCUACCAAGGCGACGAUCCGUAACUGGUCUGAGAGGAUGAUCAGUCACACUGGAACUGAGACACGGUCCAGACUCCUACGGGAGGCAGCAGUGGGGAAUAUUGGACAAUGGGCGAAAGCCUGAUCCAGCCAUGCCGCGUGUGUGAAGAAGGUCUUCGGAUUGUAAAGCACUUUAAGUUGGGAGGAAGGGCAGUAAGUUAAUACCUUGCUGUUUUGACGGUACCAACAGAAUAAGCACCGGCUAACUUCGUG